AUCGGAGCCUCCAGCGUCCUGAUUGCCGGCCACAGCCCUCCCAGCCAGUCCUAGCCUCUGCAUCUGGGACCAGGGAUCCUGCCACUGGGCAUCUCCUUUCAUUUUGGGAUUGUCAGCCUCAUUCCAGUUCUUCAGCAGUAUCUGCCUGCAUCGUGCAAGGAAAAUCACCCACUGAGACUGUCACUCAGAGUGUCAUCUGCUCACCACCCAGUCUGAUGAUGCCAGGCAUUCGUGCACUUGUGCCUGAGCAGUUGUCAGAAAACUGGGAAUUGCAAAAGAUGAAUUCAAGAAUGAACACCAAGAUGUUUCUAAUUAUAAUUUGUGUUUCAUUACACUGUACAAAAUGUCAAUGCUAAAAUCAUGUUUAAGCUAAUAAAAAU
rnacentral:lncRNA from 1 species